rnacentral:tRNA from 1 species
AAAUAAGAAGUAAAAUUUUACAUUUAGUUUCGACCUAAAAACUUGGUUAUUUAAACCCUUAUUUA